AAUGAAUCAGCUAACAGCAAUCAACAUUGAUCAGCAAAGCUAUGGCAGAUAAUAACAUGUUGAUUGCCUUCUUCUACAGAGGAGCAUACAUCAUAAUAGAUACAUGAAUUAGGCAGUAUAACCUUUCUAACCAAGAGAGCUUUAGUAGGCAGCCUCAACCAUUGAAGCUUCCAGUAGAAAAAUUUUAUCUUCAUUUGAACAGAUAACCUCCAAAGCCAAGAGAAUUGUGAGGGGGAAG
rnacentral:lncRNA from 1 species